rnacentral:misc_RNA from 1 species
GUUUUACAUUUGCUUUUAAGCUAAUAAGACAUUCUUUAAGAAUUGUGACAAAGGCAUCCUACAUAAAACAAUCAAGGAACAUCAUUUCGAUAUCCUUUGCUUGUUCAGCAGGCAAAGAUGCACAAGGUAUAAAGAAAUUUGGAUUGUAUCGGAGUGCACACCCGAACGGGCUUUUAUUUCCCUUCUCCUCGAGCCGUCAGGCCCCCACCUAGCAAUGAGAACAUUGAAAGGAGGAUUGAGAAGUCAAGACUAGCACAUCCAUCACAUUAAUGAUCCUUCCGCAGGUUCACCUACGGAAA